UCAGGACGAACGCUGGCGGCGUGCCUAACACAUGCAAGUCGAGCGAUGAAGCCCUCGGGGUGAAUUAGCGGCGGACGGGUGAGUAACACGUGGGUAACCUGCCUUAUAGAGGGGGAUAGCCUUCCGAAAGGAAGAUUAAUACCGCAUGAAAUGUUUUUAUCGCAUGGUAGAAACAUCAAAGGAGUAAUCCGCUAUAAGAUGGACCCGCGGCGCAUUAGCUAGUUGGUGAGGUAACGGCCCACCAAGGCGACGAUGCGUAGCCGACCUGAGAGGGUGAUCGGCCACAUUGGAACUGAGACACGGUCCAGACUCCUACGGGAGACAGCAGUGGGGAAUAUUGCGCAAUGGGGGAAACCCUGACGCCAGCAACGCCGCGUGAAUGAAGAAGGCCUUAGGGUUGUAAAGUUCUGUUUUCUGGGACGAUAAUGACGGUACCAGAGGAGGAAGCCACGGCUAACUACGUGCCAGCAGCUGC
rnacentral:rRNA from 1 species